rnacentral:rRNA from 1 species
GACAGAGGGUGCAAACGUUUGUUCGGAAUUACUGGGCGUAAAGCGAGUGUAGGCGGCUUUGCAAGUCGGGUGUGAAAGCCCUCAGCUUAACUGAGGAAGUGCGCCCGAAACUGCAGAGCUUGAAUACCGGAGAGGAUGGCGGAAUUCCCCAAGUAGAGGUGAAAUUCGUAGAUAUGGGGAGGAACACCGGUGGCGAAGGCGGCCAUCUGGACGGCUAUUGACGCUGAGACGCGAAAGCGUGGGGAGCAAACAGG